rnacentral:rRNA from 1 species
AGAUUGAACGCUGGCGGCAGGCCUAACACAUGCAAGUCGAGCGGCAGCACGGGUACUUGUACCUGGUGGCGAGCGGCGGACGGGUGAGUAAUGCCUAGGAAUCUGCCUGAUAGUGGGGGAUAACGUUCGGAAACGGACGCUAAUACCGCAUACGUCCUACGGGAGAAAGUGGGGGAUCUUCGGACCUCACGCUAUCAGAUGAGCCUAGGCCGAUUAGCUAGUUGGUAGGUAAAGGCCUACAA